UAGGGAAUAUUGGACAAUGGGCGAAAGCCUGAUCCAGCCACGCCGCGUGAGUGACGAAGGCCUUCGGGUUGUAAAGCUCUGUGGGAAGGGACGAAAACGUCGAGUUCGAAUAGGGCUAGGCCUUGACGGUACCUUCUUAGCAAGCACCGGCUAACUCUGUGCCAGCAGCCGCGGUAAUACAGAGGGUGCAAACGUUGCUCGGAAUUACUGGGCGUAAAGCGCGUGUAGGCGGACGUGAAAGUCGGGUGUGAAAUCCCUGGGCUCAACCUAGGAACUGCAUCCGAAACUGCACGUCUUGAGGAUUGGAGAGGGAAGCGGAAUUCCUGGUGUAGAGGUGAAAUUCGUAGAUAUCAGGAGGAACACCGGUGGCGAAGGCGGCUUCCUGGACAAUUUCUGACGCUGAGACGCGAAAGCGUGGGGAGCAAACAGGAUUAGAUACCCCCGUAGUCC
rnacentral:rRNA from 1 species